rnacentral:rRNA from 1 species
GCCCAAAGCCAUUCCACUUGUCAGAUCUCAAAUUAAGAAGGGACAAGCCUGGUCAGCACUUGGAUGGGUGACCUGCAAGGAAAAACCAGGUGCUUCAAGAA